rnacentral:rRNA from 1 species
UACAGAGGGGGCAAGCGUUGUUCGGAAUUACUGGGCGUAAAGGGCGCGUAGGCGGCCGCCUAAGUCAGACGUGAAAUCCCUCGGCUCAACUGGGGAACUGCGUCUGAUACUGGUCGGCUUGAGUGCAGGAGAGGAACGCGGAAUUCCAGGUGUAGCGGUGAAAUGCGUAGAUAUCUGGAGGAACACCGGUGGCGAAGGCGGCGUUCUGGACUGCAACUGACACUGAGGAACGAAAGCCAGGGGAGCAAACAGG